UACGGAGGGUGCGAGCGUUGUUAGGACUCACUGGGCGUAAAGCGCGUGUCGGCGGCCUCCUAAGUCUGGUGUGAAAGCCCGGGGCUUACCCCCGGAAGUGCAUUGGAUACUGGGAGGCUGGAGUACCGGAGAGGAGGGUGGAAUUCCUGGUGUAGCGGUGAAAUGCGUAGAUAUCAGGAGGAACACCGGUGGCGAAGGCGGCCCUCUGGACGGAUACUGACGCUGAGACGCGACAGCGUGGGGAGCAAACAGG
rnacentral:rRNA from 1 species